rnacentral:rRNA from 1 species
ACGAACGCUGGCGGCGCGCCUAACACAUGCAAGUCGAACGGAGCUUAGAGAGCUUGCUUUUUAAGCUUAGUGGCGAACGGGUGAGUAACGCGUGAGUAACCUGCCCUAGAGUGGGGGACAACAGUUGGAAACGACUGCUAAUACCGCAUAAGCCCACGGUACCGCAUGGUACUGAGGGAAAAGGAUUUAUUCGCUUUAGGAUGGACUCGCGUCCAAUUAGCUAGUUGGUGAGGUAACGGCCCACCAAGGCGACGAUUGGUAGCCGGACUGAGAGGUUGAACGGCCACAUUGGGACUGAGACACGGCCCAGACUCCUACGGGAGGCAGCAGUGGGGGAUAUUGCACAAUGGGGGAAACCCUGAUGCAGCGACGCCGCGUGGAGGAAGAAGGUUUUCGGAUUGUAAACUCCUGUCGUUAGGGACGAUAAUGACGGUACCUAACAAGAAAGCACCGGCUAACUACGUGCCAGCAGCCGCGGUAAAACGUAGGGUGCAAGCGUUGUCCGGAAUUACUGGGUGUAAAGGGAGCGCAGGCGGGAAGACAAGUUGGAAGUGAAAACCAUGGGCUCAACCCAUGAAUUGCUUUCAAAACUGUUUUUCUUGAGUAGUGCAGAGGUAGAUGGAAUUCCCGGUGUAGCGGUGGAAUGCGUAGAUAUCGGGAGGAACACCAGUGGCGAAGGCGGUCUACUGGGCACCAACUGACGCUGAGGCUCGAAAGCAUGGGUAGCAAACAGGAUUAGAUACCCUGGUAGUCCAUGCCGUAAACGAUGAUUACUAGGUGUUGGGGGAUUGACCCCCUCAGUGCCGCAGUUAACACAAUAAGUAAUCCACCUGGGUAGUACGACCGCAAGGUUGAAACUCAAAGGAAUUGACGGGGGCCCGCACAAGCAGUGGAGUAUGUGGUUUAAUUCGAAGCAACGCGAAGAACCUUACCAAGUCUUGACAUCCUUCUGACCGUUCCUUAGCCGGAACUUCCCUUCGGGGCAGAAGAGACAGGUGGUGCAUGGUUGUCGUCAGCUCGUGUCGUGAGAUGUUGGGUUAAGUCCCGCAACGAGCGCAACCCUUAUUGCCAGUUACUACGUUAAGAGGACUCUGGCGAGACUGCCGUUGACAAAACGGAGGAAGGUGGGGAUGACGUCAAAUCAUCAUGCCCUUUAUGACCUGGGCUACACACGUACUACAAUGGCGUUAAACAAAGAGAAGCAAGACCGCGAGGUGGAGCAAAACUCAAAAACAACGUCUCAGUUCAGAUUGCAGGCUGCAACUCGCCUGCAUGAAGUCGGAAUUGCUAGUAAUCGCGGAUCAGCAUGCCGCGGUGAAUACGUUCCCGGGCCUUGUACACACCGCCCGUCACACCAUGAGAGCCGGGGGGACCCGAAGUCGGUAGUCUAACCGCAAGGAGGACGCCGCCGAAGGUAAAACUGGUGAUUGGGGUG